rnacentral:rRNA from 1 species
UGGGGAAUUUUGGACAAUGGGCGCAAGCCUGAUCCAGCCAUGCCGCGUGCGGGAAGAAGGCCUUCGGGUUGUAAACCGCUUUUGUCAGGGAAGAAAUCUUCUGAGUUAAUACCUCGGGAGGAUGACGGUACCUGAAGAAUAAGCACCGGCUAACUACGUGCCAGCAGCCGCGGUAAUACGUAGGGUGCAAGCGUUAAUCGGAAUUACUGGGCGUAAAGCGUGCGCAGGCGGUUUUGUAAGACAGGGGUUGAAAUCCCCGGGCUCAACCUGGGAACUGCCUUUGUGACUGCAAGGCUUGAGUGCGGCAGAGGGGGAUGGAAUUCCGCGUGUAGCAGUGAAAUGCGUAGAUAUGCGGAGGAACACCGAUGGCGAAGGCAAUCCCCUGGGCCUGCACUGACGCUCAUGCACGAAAGCGUGGGGAGCAAACAGGAUUAGAUACCCUGGUAGUCCACGCCCUAAACGAUGUCAACUGGUUGUUGGGAAGGUUCCUUCUCAGUAACGUAGCUAACGCGUGAAGUUGACCGCCUGGGGAGUACGGCCGCAAGGUUGAAACUUAAAUGAAUUGACGGGGUCAUAGCUGUUUCCUG